CGUGUGGUGCCGGUGCAGGAAAUUUCCUGGCACGGGAGAGCGACGCGGCCUUAACUGAGGU
rfam:Erwinia iniecta strain B120 contig000029, whole genome shotgun sequence.